GUGCUCACUUCAGCAGCACAUAUACUAAAAUUGGAACGAUACAGAGAAGAUUAGCAUGGCCCCUGUGCAAGGAUGACACGCAAAUUCGUGAAAUGUUCCAUAUUUUC
ensembl:snRNA U6 U6 spliceosomal RNA